rnacentral:rRNA from 1 species
GAUGAACGCUGGCGGCGUGCCUAAUACAUGCAAGUCGAGCGAAUGGAUUAAGAGCUUGCUCUUAUGAAGUUAGCGGCGGACGGGUGAGUAACACGUGGGUAACCUGCCCAUAAGACUGGGAUAACUCCGGGAAACCGGGGCUAAUACCGGAUAAUAUUUUGAACUGCAUGGUUCAAAAUUGAAAGGCGGCUUCGGCUGUCACUUAUGGAUGGACCUGCGUCGCAUUAGCUAGUUGGUGAGGUAACGUCUCACCAAGGCAACGAUGCGUAGCCGGCCUGGGAGUGUGAUCGGCCACACUGGGACUGAGACACGGCCCAAACUCCUACGGGAGGCAGCAGUAGGGAAUCUUCCGCAAUGGACGAAAGUCUGGCGGGGCAACGCCGCGUGAGUGAUGAAGGCUUUCGGGUCGUAAAACUCUGUUGUUAGGGAAGAACAAGUGCUAGUUGAAUAAGCUGGCACCUUGACGGUACCUAACCAGAAAGCCACGGCUAACUACGUGCCAGCCGCCGCGGUAA